rnacentral:rRNA from 1 species
CUGGCGGCACGCCUAACACAUGCAAGUCGAACGAAGUAGCAAUACUUAGUGGCAGACGGGUGAGUAACAUGUAGGUAUCUGCCCUUUGGCCUGGAAUAACACGAGGAAACUUGUGCUAAUACCGGAUAAGUCUUUACGGAGAAAGCUUUAUGCACCAUUGGAUGAGCCUGCACUUGAUUAGUUUGUUGGUGGGGUAAUGGCCUACCAAGACUGUGAUCAAUAGCUGAUUUGAGAGGAUGAUCAGCCACAUUGGGACUGAGACACGGCCCAAACUCCUACGGGAGGCAGCAGUGGGGAAUCUUGCACAAUGGAGGAAACUCUGAUGCAGCGAUGCCGCGUGAGUGAAGAAGGCCCUUGGGUUGUAAAGCUCUUUCGUCGGGGAAGAAAAUGACUGUACCCGAAUAAGAAGGUCCGGCUAA